rnacentral:misc_RNA from 1 species
GAACCGUUGGUUAUAUUGCUCCAGGUAAUUAACAACUAUAUAAGCAUCUUCCUCUAUUUUUCUUCUUUUUCUUCUAAUUCUGCUUCUUCUUCUUCCCUUAAUAGUCUUUUCUUUUUUUUCCUUUUAUCAUAUAAACAAAAAUUGAUAUGUUUUUCAGGACCACCGUUCUAUAUCCCAUCUCCAAACCACAUUCAGUUCCAUAUAAAUUCCCCCUGAGGAGUUAUAUGCUCAAUAAAAUUUAACUUUCACCUAUACCUGCUCUAAUCAAGACCGGUUUUCCCAGUUUGUUAAUUUAUUGUUAGUCAACAAAUGAUGAACUUAUUAUCGCCAUAUUAAUUUGAUUACUUUUACAUACUUGUAGAAUAUGGAAUGAGUGGUAUAGC